UGAGCGAUGAAGGCCUUCGGGUCGUAAAGCUCUGUUGUCAGGGAAGAACAAGUAUCGGAGUAACUGCCGGUACCUUGACGGUACCUGACCAGAAAGCCACGGCUAACUACGUGCCAGCAGCCGCGGUAAUACGUAGGUGGCAAGCGUUGUCCGGAAUUAUUGGGCGUAAAGCGCGCGCAGGCGGUUCCUUAAGUCUGAUGUGAAAGCCCCCGGCUCAACCGGGGAGGGUCAUUGGAAGCUGGGGAACUUGAGUGCAGAAGAGGAGAGCGGAAUUCCACGUGUAGCGGUGAAAUGCGUAGAGAUGUGGAGGAACACCAGUGGCGAAGGCGGCUCUCUGGUCUGUAACUGACGCUGAGGCGCGAAAGCGUGGGGAGCGAACAGGAUUAGAUACCCUGGUAGUCCACGCCGUAAACGAUGAGUGCUAAGUGUUAGAGGGUUUCCGCCCUUUAGUGCUGCAGCAAACGCAUUAAGCACUCCGCCUGGGGAGUACGGCCGCAAGGCUG
rnacentral:rRNA from 1 species